CCUGGCGGCGAGUGGCGAACGGGUGAGUAAUAUAUCGGAACGUACCCUAGAGUGGGGGAUAACGUAGCGAAAGUUACGCUAAUACCGCAUACGAUCUAAGGAUGAAAGUGGGGGAUUCGCAAGAACCUCAUGCUCGUGGAGCGGCCGAUAUCUGAUUAGCUAGUUGGUAGGGUAAAAGCCUACCAAGGCAUCGAUCAGUAGCUGGUCUGAGAGGACGACCAGCCACACUGGAACUGAGACACGGUCCAGACUCCUACGGGAGGCAGCAGUGGGGAAUUUUGGACAAUGGGCGAAAGCCUGAUCCAGCAAUGCCGCGUGAGUGAAGAAGGCCUUCGGGUUGUAAAGCUCUUUUGUCAGGGAAGAAACGGUGGUUUCUAAUACAGAUCACUAAUGACGGUACCUGAAGAAUAAGCACCGGCUAACUACGUGCCAGCAGCCGCGGUAAUACGUAGGGUGCAAGCGUUAAUCGGAAUUACUGGGCGUAAAGCGUGCGCAGGCGGUUUUGUAAGUCUGACGUGAAAUCCCCGGGCUCAACCUGGGAAUUGCGUUGGAGACUGCAAGGCUAGAGUUUGGCAGAGGGGGGUAGAAUUCCACGUGUAGCAGUGAAAUGCGUAGAUAUGUGGAGGAACACCGAUGGCGAAGGCAGCCCCCUGGGUCAAGACUGACGCUCAUGCACGAAAGCGUGGGGAGCAAACAGGAUUAGAUACCCUGGUAGUCCACGCCCUAAACGAUGUCUACUAGUUGUCGGGUCUUAAUUGACUUGGUAACGCAGCUAACGCGUGAAGUAGACCGCCUGGGGAGUACGGUCGCAAGAUUAAAACUCAAAGGAAUUGACGGGGACCCGCACAAGCGGUGGAUGAUGUGGAU
rnacentral:rRNA from 1 species